GCAUAUCAAUUAAGCGGAGGAAAAGAAAAAUAACAAUGAUUUCCCUAGUAACGGCGAGUGAAGAGGAAAGAGCUCAAAGUUGGAACCUGUUUGGCUUAGCUAAACCGGAUUGUAAACUGUAGAAGUGUUUUCCAGACACGCCUGGUAAAAAAGUCCUUUGGAACAGGGCAUCAUAGAGGGUGAGAAUCCCGUCAUUGGCCAGAGCUGUUGUCUUUUGUGAUACAUUUUCAAAGAGUCAGGUUGUUUGGGAAUGCAGCCUAAAUUGGGUGGUAAAUCUCACCUAAAGCUAAAUAUUUGCGAGAGACCGAUAGCGAACAAGUACCGUGAGGGAAAGAUGAAAAGAACUUUGAAAAGAGAGUUAAACAGUAUGUGAAAUUGUUAAAAGGGAACCGUUUGGAGCCAGACUGGCUUAACUGUAAUCAAUCUAGGCUUUGGCCUGGAUGCACUUGCGGUUUAUGCCGGCCAACGACAGUUUUGUUUGAGGGAAAAAAUUACAUUGAAUGUGGCCCUUCGGGGUGUUAUAGCUUUGUAAAAAAUACCUUGGACUGGACUGAGGAACGCAGUGAAUGCCUUUAGGCAAGAUUGCUGGGUGCUUUCGCUAAUAAAUGCUAGAAUUUCUGCUUCGGGUGGUGCUAGUGUUUAAAGGAGGAACUCGCCUAGUAUAUUUUUUAUUCGCUUAGGUUGUUGGCUUAAUGACUCUAAAUGACCCGUCUUGAAACACGGACCAAGGAGUCCACCAUAAGUGCGAGUAUUUGGGUGACAAACCCAUAUGCGCAAGGAAACUGAUUGAUACGAAGGCUUUAAGCUGGCAGUAUCACCCGGCGUUGACGUUUUAUACUGAACUGACCGAGGUAAAGCACUUAUGAUGGGACCCGAAAGAUGGUGAACUAUGCCUGAAUAGGGUGAAGCCGGAGGAAACUCCGGUGGAGGCUCGUAGCGAUUCUGACGUGCAAAUCGAUCGUCAAAUUUGGGUAUAGGGGGCGAAAGACUAAUCGAACCAUCUAGUAGCUGGGUUCUGCGAG
rnacentral:rRNA from 1 species